rnacentral:rRNA from 1 species
GACGAACCGCACGAACGUUAUUCGGAAUUACUGGGCUUAAAGGGUGCGUAGGCUGUGCGGAAAGUUAGGUGUGAAAUCCCCCGGCUCAACCGGGGAAUUGCGCUUAAAACUACCGUGCUAGAGGAAGACAGAGGUGAGCGGAACUUCGGGUGGAGCGGUGAAAUGCGUUGAUAUCCGAAGGAACACAGGUGGCGAAAGCGGCUCACUGGGUCUUUUCUGACGCUGAUGCACGAAAGCUAGGGGAGCAAACGGG